rnacentral:rRNA from 1 species
UACGAAGGGGGCUAGCGUUGUUCGGAAUUACUGGGCGUAAAGCGUGCGCAGGCGGUUUCUCAAGUCAGGGGUGAAAGCCCGGAGCUCAACUCCGGAAUUGCCUUUGAAACUGUGAAGCUAGAGUGCGGGAGAGGUGAGUGGAAUUCCCAGUGUAGAGGUGAAAUUCGUAGAUAUUGGGAAGAACACCGGUGGCGAAGGCGGCUCACUGGCUCGUAACUGACGCUCAUGCACGACAGCGUGGGGAUCAAACAGG